CAAAGUUGCCUCCUUCUAUUCUGAAUCUGAGUCGGAGAAGAAUUUCAAGAACAAUCUGUUUCUUGUUUCAAACACCAGAAAUCUAAUGAUUUGAAGAUUCAGAAAAUACUUUCAUUCGUUCUCAACAGAACUCCUCUCUUAUGCAAAUAUCUAGAACAGUUCUAGAAACUUAUUAACUUAAAUCUUCUUUCUGCUCUCCUAAACAGUCUUCAUGGAAAAGCAAUUAGCAUCCGGAUCAGCACCAGCAGCUGAGACAAGUGAAAGACAACGUCCACCGGUUCCAAUGGCAGCACCUUGGCUUAUUUUUCCACAUGGAGAAGGGCGCACUGUCCGGAUGAAGUGGAAGCGCAGGAUACUCUAGAAGCAUUACAUUGGACCAAAAUAAAAUCUACUUCUCUAGAUUACAAGACCAAAAUAUAAUCUGAUUCAGGUUCCUAUUUUUCUCUUACUGUAAAAAUGUUGAGCUGGGCACCAAGGUAAAAACUCUUAUUAUGUUGGUUCC